UGGUUCCGAAAACGGGCAGCGCGAAGAGAGCUUGCUCUCUUGGCGGCGAGUGUUAGGACGGGUGAGUAAUAUAUCGGAACGUGCCCAGUAGCGGGGGAUAACUACUCGAAAGAGUGGCUAAUACCGCAUACGCCCUACGGGGGAAAGGGGGGGAUCGCAAGACCUCUCACUAUUGGAGCGGCCGAUAUCGGAUUAGCUAGUUGGUGGGGUAAAGGCUCACCAAGGCAACGAUCCGUAGCUGGUUUGAGAGGACGACCAGCCACACUGGGACUGAGACACGGCCCAGACUCCUACGGGAGGCAGCAGUGGGGAAUUUUGGACAAUGGGGGAAACCCUGAUCCAGCCAUCCCGCGUGUAUGAUGAAGGCCUUCGGGUUGUAAAGUACUUUUGGCAGAGAAGAAAAGGUAUCCCCUAAUACGGGAUACUGCUGACGGUAUCUGCAGAAUAAGCACCGGCUAACUACGUGCCAGCAGCCGCGGUAAUACGUAGGGUGCAAGCGUUAAUCGGAAUUACUGGGCGUAAAGCGUGUGUAGGCGGUUCGGAAAGAAAGAUGUGAAAUCCCAGGGCUCAACCUUGGAACUGCAUUUUUAACUGCCCGAGCUAGAGUAUGUCAGAGGGGGGUAGAAUUCCACGUGUAGCAAGUGAAAUGCGUAGAUAUGUGGAGGAAUACCCAUGGCGAAAGGCAGCCCCCUGGGAUAUUACUGACGCUCACACACGAAA
rnacentral:rRNA from 2 species